rnacentral:ncRNA from 1 species
GUUAAAACGAUGACGAGGACAGUAGGUUAUCCGGAGGGUAACAGAGAGAGGCACCAUGGUUGGAAGUGUCUUACAGAAGGGUAAUUGAAGACUACCUCUGAGUGGCUCUAAUCAAGCACGGUGAUUCCGUUAUAAUCGUAAUGAGAGGCCAAUUUAUUUGGCAAUCAGGGUGGAACCGCGUAUAUUACGUCCCUGUU